rnacentral:lncRNA from 1 species
UUUUUUUCAAACAUUAGUAUUAGAUUCGGAGAGGCGACAAAUAAUGUUCACAUUUCAAUAACAUUGUAAAAAUACUGUUGUAACAAGUAACAUGUCAAUGACAAAGCCUAGCAUAGCCUCUGGGCCUAAUUCAUGGCAUCACCCGUUGUGCACUUACUCUUGAGCCAAAACAAGAAACAUAUCUCUCGUAGAAUUGUCUACAAGAUAGUUCAAGACACAUCUGGCAAGGUCUUCAAUUAAUUACCAAACCACAAUAAUCAGAUACUUAACAUUUAAAGAAAGAGACUUAACAUGCAGGCACAAACUCAACACAGUCCACAUCAAGUGGCACCAGUGCCAACUUAAAAGAUGAUUAAACUGAAUCAAUAUCACUCAGAGAUUGGUAAAAGUGUUAAAAAAAACUACUCAAAAGACAGAAACCAUCAUCAUCAGCAUCUGCAGACAUGGUAAAUUAAAGCAUCUCUAUAAUAUUCACCGCCCUAGCUUCUCGCUUACCAAUACCAUCGCCAUCAAAACCAGACAUUCUCAUAACAGUGAAGGGUCCAAUGGCCAUCUUAUCUGAAAAGAUAGACACAUUGUCAUCAUAGACUGAUUGGAUUCUCAGCAAUUGAGAGGAAAUGGGAAUGUAGACCAUAGAUAGAUAGAGAUGAGGAGGGAAUGAAAUGAAACAUAUUGAGUAUAUAAUAUAUAUACUAAUACUAUACUAUAUUGAAUAUUGCAACGAAUUAAAAUCAACUCUUAUCAGCCGCUAAA